GGUAUUGCAGGGCGUUGCAAUCUUGGCAUCACAAGUCCUGUGCUGUCCUCUCAUAAUUCACCUUUAGGCAGCGCUGGAAACGAAAGCCAGAGGUUUGUUUAUGUUUUGGGGGAGGGGACCUAUUUUUUGCGGGUGUGAGCGGGAUGGAGGAUAGGCAGGAGUUAUCUUGCUGCGGGGGGGGGGUGAGAAAGGAAGAGGAGUUUUGGUUGGGAAUGUUGUUUUCUUUACAGCGCUCUCCCUGGAUCGCAGGCAGCUGCCUCGAGCCAGGCUUGUUUUUCCUCGCACGCGUGGUGCUCCUCCCAACAGCUGGAUGCGUUGUAACCCGCUCUGCAUCGCACGCUGACAGUCGCUCCGCGGACCGGGGGGCUGAUUUCGGUGGGGACGGUUAUAGAGGGAGGGUGGGGUACCGGCGCACCGCUGUCCGAUUGCCUUUGCGGGGUUGUUUUGCAUGCUGAUGGGGAGCAGGGCUGAAGCCCUGUAGGUCUCCCAGCCCCUGGCCUUUCGGGAUGUGUGUGUGCGGUUUUUAAUGUUGCGCACUGUUAUUUUCCUUCGGGAUCCUGGCACUGGUUCCUUUCCGUCAAGCGAUUGUAAAUAUAGCCUGGAUCUUGUUUACAUGAAGCAUCCAGCGGGAGGAGCCUGGGAGGAGGAGGAGGAGGAGGAAGAUGGAGGAGUCUCCACGGCUCGCUGGGGUGAGCUUCCCAAACGGAGGAGGAGCCAAGACAGGGCUGGAGUCUCCCUCAAGCAGCCUGGAAGCUGCCUGGAAGGGGCCUCUAGGAGCUCUUGUUUCCAGAAAAGUGACUGAAUACUUGCCCACAGACCGUAGCUGAUGAAUGAUUAAUCAUGUUUUAGAGAUUUAUUUAUUUAAUUAUUCAUACAUUUGGUACACCAACAGCAGCAGUUAGAAUUCAUCUAUCAGACCGUUAACUCAACCACUAAUCAAUGUUUAAGAGGGGAAGGGAGUCAAAAAGACUAAAAGGUAAGUGUUGGUGGAAGGAAUCAAGCAGAACGUAGAUGAAGAAUGGAGAAGAUUUUAUAAACAGUUCCCAUUACGGAAGUUUCCUUGAUGGGAGAGUUUCAUAUUGUUGAAUGUACCUGUCUCCUACCUCACUUACAAGUGAAGAAGCAAAUCUUUAAAAACUAAUAAAGAAGAAUUUAAAGCUAUAGAAAAUUUUGCUUUAAUAACUGUCCUAGCACACUAGAGUCUUUCACGUCUUGGUGCUGUAAACUGCACUGUAGGGAGGAGCUCCUGCCAUAUUAAAAUUCCAGUAACUUUCCUAAGGAGUAAAGUCACUUACCCAGUAGCCAAAAGAUCAAUUAUAUCCCUGUAACUGUAGUUUUCUGCUCUUAAGAUCACACACAAAGUAAAAUAUUUGUAAUAAAGGUGGAUUUUUUCCACACUUUUCCUAGCUUUGGAUAAGACAGAUCUCUUCCUAGUCAGUGUCAGAGUUGGCCUAUAAAAAUCAGAGCUCUAAUUCCAAGCUACAUGCUAGGAGAAAAGGAAGAAAAGUUGUAUUUGUAGGGGGAGGAUAAAUAGCCAAUUUAGUUUUUAGACUCUAAUAAAAAGGAGUGUUGUAUAAUUCAAAACACUCAAGAAACGUGGUAAGUUACCAACCCCGAAAGAAGAGAGUAGUGGAAACGGGUGUGUGGGGUGGGAGACACGGAAAACAAGCAAAAAUAAAAACAAUGUGAAUAGAAUUUUUUUCAAACGCAAAAUCUGACAGCAAAAAACAGAACAUGGAUUUGAAAUUUUUAAAAUCAAGUUAAAGUAUUUGCAAUGCCUUAGAAAUAAGUUGAACAAAAAUACACACCGAAAAAUGCACUUGAGUAAAUUUAUGUAUACCACAUUGAGAUCAGAGGGACUACUCCUGUAUGUUUUCAGGAUUCAGACCUAUGUUACCUGACCAUUGAGGAAAGCUUUCUUUUUAUUCUAGAAAAGAAGGUGAGUGUUAAAUGGUGAGAAGGCAGAGUAAAUAGAUCCCCUUAUCAUCAGCAAAAUGUAAAUACAUCUAAAGUGUCCAGCCUUUGUGAUGUUAAUAGAAUGCUCUAAUGACAUUUUUGUACCUUUAUAUUGUUCACAUUUUUGAAAGCCAGGAAACACUUAUUUUUUAUAUAAAUCUUUAAUAAAUGUGUGCUCCUAGGUUACCUUACGGUUACUAUUUUCAGAAAAUGACAGUUUAGUCGAAGGAUGCUUAUAAAUUUGCAGUUGAUGGCAAAUAUAUAUCCUAAUAUUUUUGUACAUAUUUGCCCAUUCAUAUUUGCAUCCUGGAACAAUAUUGUAUAACAUAUUGACUGGUCCCUUGUUUAUGAAACAUAUGUUUGUAAUUUGUUUUAAAAAUGCACAAAUAUUUUUUCCAGGAAGCUGUGUUUCACAUUUGUCUCUUUAUUGCCCUCUUGUGUUUAAAAAUAUGUGAGAGACCAUUUUGGUAGUACUUGGGCCCAGCUGAAUGUUAAGCAUUUCUGAAUUUUAAAAGCAUUUUAUUUAACUUAAGGAAAUACAUUGUCAGUUUAGUUGGUUAUUUAUUAUGUUAUCCAUAAAGUUCUUGCUCUACCCUAUUAGAAAUAUUUAAGUACCACUUACACCAAUUAAGUCCAUCAAAUUCUUAAAUGGAACAUUAUGUGAAAUGUAAAAUCUAUUUAUCACUUCCUUUCCAUUGUGAAACCUGAUGAAACAUUUAUUUUAAUAUGCUGAUCAUUACAGAACUGAUUCACUAGAUUAGAUGCCUUUAUUCAAAGAGAAAAACUGCCAUGACUUUUUCAGCAGUACUUCAAACAUAAACCAGAGAAAAUAUUUUGAUAAACCUCCUUCAUUGUUUGCAAUGUAAUUCUUGAUUUCAGCAGUUUUCAUUUAGACCUCAGUGUAUGGCCCAAAUCAACCAUCGCACAGCCUGAACAAACAAGCCCGUCAGACAGCAACUCUUCCUUCAAACUCCAGGAUCCUUUCCACAUCCAGUGCUUGUUACUAUUUUGGAUUUGAUCCUGCUCCCACUGAAAUCAAUGGCAAAACUUCAAUGGGAGUAGGAUUGGGCCUCAAAGGAUCCCAGUGCUGCAGACGCACCUGUUGGAACUUUAGCACAUCUGUAAGCAUUUGCAGAAUGGAGGCAUGAGAUGGUACUGUGAAUCCCACAAGACAGAAACCUUGUCUUUUUUGUGUGUCAAGGCCCUAGCACUUUCCGUGUGGAACAUACUACUUUGAAACUUAAAAGAUAUUAUAGCCACAUAAUUAGCUAAACUAUUAGAUAAUGGGUCCAGAUCCUCCACCAGUGUAAAUUUGUGCAGCUUCAUUGUCUUAAGUGGAACUAUGCCAAUUGUACCAGUUGAGGAUCUUGCCUAUGUAAUUUAUGUAUGGGAACAGCACUCUACUUCAAAUGCUGAUUGAAACUGAAAAAAAAAAAAAAAAAAAAAAGAAGAGGGGAAAAUACCCUCAUUCCAUCAGUGAUUAUCUCCUCAGAAUGAGUACAUUAUUUCCCCCCUGUUAAAUACAGUAUCAGUAGAUUUGGAUUUUUAAGACUGUUAUUGGUAAAAGAUUGUACAGCUCUGAAAAAUACUUUAAAGUUGCAUUGAAUUUAACUGCACUGAUACCAGUUAACCAGGUAAUUUUCAAAAAGAGUGGAUAAAUUAACUGAAGUUUCAGAACACUUUGUUCAUUUCCACAUGUAUUUAUUAAACAUGCAUCAUCCGUGUCCUCGGAGAGCUGAACAUCAGUAUUUGAUGUGAUCUUUAUUUUUGAAACAUGCACAAGAGGAAACACUAUGUAAGCACACAAUAAAUUAAGCACUAUUCUCUAUAUGAUACUAACAGACAUAAUGACUGACAGGCUGCCCUGGCUCAGUUAUCACAGUGCUGAUGCUGUCUAUUCUAAAGGUACAGUACUGUGAUAACUGAAGGAUGGCAGCCAUCUUAGCUUCACAAGAACCCAACGAGCAGAAAUCAGAGAAGACGUCCUUAUUUUCUGGAUACCGGACAUGCUUUGUUUAUGAAAGUGACCAGGUGCUCGAGCAGAAAGAUGCUUGUUGUAAGGGUACAUCUUAACUCACUUGAAGAAAAGAAUAAAUGGCUUAAAAAAAGACCUUUAGUUCUACUGGAAUAAAAAAAAUCACUUUA